UCUGGUCUGAGAAAUGUAAUUUGGAGCGAGUGAGGAAUCUGCAACAAUAUUUGUCUCCUUUCGUGUCUAAGGGUAAUGAGUUUGGGUGGAUUGAUGUGUUCUUUGUCUUGCCUUCAGGUGCAGACAUCUCACAGAUGAUUGGAUGACAGCCGGCUCAUGACAAUGCUGAAGGAAAUGCAUUGGCUGCCAGAGUAAACGCAUCACUGUCGUUGAACACUCGAACAUUUGCAUAAUUAGGCUGCACAAUCCUAGCGGUCUCUUUUCAUAACAAUUAAACCGAUCUAAUUUGGGAGGAGUAAACAGACUGAGAGCCCUACGGGGUGAGCAACUUUGAAAACUGUUCCACGCAAACUCUUGCUUGAUGAUCUUUGCUAAUUAUACAGUGUUGCACUUCCUGUAAAAAUGAAAAGUAAUCGGUGAAUGUCAUCGCCUGAAGCUUAUCAAGAAACGAGCAGGCAACCAUGACCGGACAAGGAUUUUUCUUUGUCUUUUCUUUUUUUUUUUUGGAGGGGGGUGGAGAGAAGACAUAUUCAGGCUUCAAUCUAAAAUCAAGAGCAUAACGCAGAUAAAAUUAACAAUUUGAUUUGGGAGUGUUGUGUGUGUCUAAAUAAUCUGACAAUUAGUCUUUCCUAUCAUUAUAGUGAUUCUCAUUAGGAUGUGGUGACCUCUUCUAAUCUGAGUGAAUUCAAACAUCUAAAAAGCCAGUUGGAGGGAAGGGUUGCAGGUCAGAGAUUGCUACUGAUGUGCUACAACUGAUAGCACAACAAUGAAGUCCAGGUAAUCCUGGCCACGGUCCUGGAGCCUGAGAACAUUUCUGCGUGUUCUGUGCACUCAAACCAAUGCCAGACUUUCCUGGAAGGCUUCCAUACCCCCAUACUGGAGUCUCCCAAGCAACAAAAAUAAAUAAAAUGCUGGUUAAAACAC